rnacentral:misc_RNA from 1 species
CCUCCCCUUCCCAUCACUCGUUCAUCCCCAAAAAAGUACAAUACAAACUUAAAAAAAAGCCAAAAAAAUUUCAAGUCUAUAAGAAAACGAUGUCAGAGGUUUGAGAUUUUUACUUAGUGAGAUUCACUCACGCACCAGAUUUUCAAACGCAUCCAGAAAAUCAAUGGACUCGAGACCAUCAAAAAAUAUCGAGCUCACUGGAUGUUCUGUUCAAGCCGGCAGCGAACUCGGCUCGAUAAAAUGUUAUCCGUCAGUACAUAGAUCCCGAUCAGUCCACGGAAAACCUUUGGAUGGUUAACCGUCAGUACAUCGAUCCCGACCAGUACACAUGAUCUCCAGCAUUCCAUGAAACUCGUUUCAAGGAAUAUAUACUAAGGAAUAUGUACUGCCGGAAAGGAUUUAAUCGAGCCAACAUCAGUACCUUCGUCCCAUCAGUCCAUGAAAUCUCACGUGCUCACCAUGGACUCACACAGUGAUAUAACCAGCCAGCAACAAUACUACCGCUGGACUGAUUAAAUCAGCAACCAAUCAGUCCAUCACAAAACAAAACAGAUAACUCUAGCCAAGUGUCCUGACGGAAAGGGAAAAAAUCAGCCCGCGGGUGUUUCCGUGUACUGACGGACAGCCCCGUGUGUACUGACGGACAGACCACGGGUGUUUCUGUGCACCGAAGACAGCCCAGUGUGUACUGACGGGCAGUCUACGGGGCUAAAAUCACCCACGGACAGUCCACGAACAGCCAAAAUCACCCCGGGAAGGGAAAAAAACAGCC